GCACCGCGAAGUUUAUUGGGCCUAAAGCAUCCGUAGCCGGCUCUGCAAGUCUUCGGUUAAAUCCACCUGCUCAACAGAUGGGCUGCUGGAGAUACUACAGAGCUAGGGAGUGGGAGAGGCAGACGGUAUUCAGUGGGUAGGGGUAAAAUCCUCUGAUCCAUUGAGGACCACCAGUGGCGAAGGCGGUCUGCCAGAACACGUUCGACGGUGAGGGAUGAAAGCUGGGGGAGCAAACCGGAUUAGAUACCCGGGUAGUCCCAGCUGUAAACGAUGCAAACUCGGUGAUGCAUUGGCUUAUGGCCAAUGCAGUGCCGCAGGGAAGCCGUUAAGUUUGCCGCCUGGGAAGUACGGACGCAAGUCUGAAACUUAAAGGAAUUGCGGGGGGAAGCACAAG
rnacentral:rRNA from 1 species